AAAGUCGUAACAAGGUAUCCGUAGGUGAACCUGCGGAUGGAUCAUUACUGUAUAGACUAAGAACCUGGCUAGACUUUAAACUGUCUGCCUAUUCUUAUGUCAACCAACACUUUGUGAACUGUUGAUGUCUCUGGCAGUUUCAUUUGCCCAGCUCUGUCUGUUGCAAGUGGGCUGCCGAUGGGCUCUGCUCAUCACAUCAUUUAACUCUUUGCUAAACAUUACAUGUCUGAACAUUUCAUAUUUUUAAUGUGAAAACAACUUUUGACAACGGAUCUCUUGGCUCUC
rnacentral:misc_RNA from 1 species